GUGCCAGCAGCCGCGGUAAUACGAAGGUGGCAAGCGUUACUCGGAAUUACUAGGCGUAAAGCGCAGGUAGGCGGUUUGAUAAGUCUUUUGUGAAAGCUCCCGGCUUAACUGGGAGAGGUCAAAGGAAACUGUCAGGCUAGAGUGUGGUAGAGGAUGCUGGAAUUCCCGGUGUAGCGGUGAAAUGCGUAGAGAUCGGGAGGAAUACCUAUGGCGAAAGCAGGCAUCUGGGCCAUCACUGACGCUGAGCUGCGAAAGCUAGGGGAGCAAACAGGAUUAGAAACCCCUGUAGUCC
rnacentral:rRNA from 1 species